rnacentral:rRNA from 1 species
CAAGAGCGUAUGUAAAAGUUGUUGCAGUUAAAAAGCUCGUAGUUGAACCUUGGGUUUGGUUGGCCGGUCCGCUUUUUUGCGAGUACUGGAUUCAACCGAGCCUUUCCUUCUGGCUAACCAGUCGUUUCGGCGGCUGGCGAACCAGGAUUUUUACUUUGAGAAAAUUAGAGUGUUCAAAGCAGGCAUUAGCUUGAAUAUAUUAGCACGGAAUAAUAGAAUAGGACGUUAUGGUUCUAUUUUGUUGGUUUCUAGGACCAUCGUAAUGAUUAAUAGGGACGGUCGGGGGCAUCAGUAUUCAGUUGUCAGAGGUGAAAUUCUUGGAUUUACUGAAGACUAACUACUGCGAAAGCAUUUGCCAAGGACGUUUUCAUUAA